rnacentral:Y_RNA from 1 species
GGCUGGUUUGAAUGCAGCGGUGUUUACAAAUAAUUAGUCACAACCAGUUACAGAUUUCUUUGUUCCUCUCCACGCACACUACACUUCACUUGACCAGACUUGA